GACAAGGCUCUGAAACCCCCAUAAGAAGAAAUCACUGAAAAUGCAAACACUGAGCAGCCACAUCACAGUCCAGGAGGUGCCGCUUCCACAUUUUGUGCUGCUGCAUAUAUGCCGUGCUCUACAUGGGUCACAGGUGGAUUCUGCCUUGGAAGCAAAGCAACAGUAAAGAGUGUUCAAUUCAAUUGGUGAAUAUUGAUGCAAGGAGGAGGCUUCGAAUUCCUCUGGCUUAUUUGAAAGCCACUUGUAACACUUCCCCAGCAGGAGCAAACAAUAAAACACUGAGAAGUACAAAGGAAUAAUGCUAUGAACAUUUCAGUAAUAAUGACAACAGGUACAGCAACCAAUUACAAGGAGGCAAAGUGCUGAUCUCCAGAGGGCUAAGCUAAGAUCCAUGAGGAAAAGUCAUAAAGAAGUUUCUUCUAAUAGCUUUGUAACAUGCAUAUAUUCUCACUUUGACAAGCAGUGAGCUCUGCAUCUUAGGAGGCAAUCAAUCCAGACACUGUAUUCCUAUACUCAGCAGGAGGUGGGCCAGAUGACCUUCGAGCUUCCCUCUAACUCUAAAAUUCUGUGAUUUUCUUGAACCUCAAAUCUACUAGUUAUUUUUAGAAGUGAAACAUUAAUGCUGAAUCUAAAUCAUCUACCAUUAAUAAAAA
rnacentral:antisense_RNA from 1 species